rnacentral:lncRNA from 1 species
AAUUACAUGAUACAUAUAGAUAUGCACCAUUAAUUUUAUCUAGACUAUUAUUAUUAUUAUUUUUUUUUUUUGAUGAAAUUACAUUAUAAAUAAUACAAACCACACACACACCCCACCUAGUGAUUAUUGUGGCCGAGAGUACUCGAACCUGUGACCUCUUGGACGACAGGCAACCACCCCAACCACUAGGCCAUCCCAAGGGGACAGACUAUUACUCCCUCCGUCCCUGAAAUGGCUUCCUCUUUGGGGACGGCACGGGUUUUAAUAAAAAGUUGUAAAGUGUAUUGAUAGUGGA